rnacentral:rRNA from 1 species
UACGUAGGGUGCAAGCGUUGUCCGGAAUUAUUGGGCGUAAAGAGCUCGUAGGCGGUCUGUCGCGUCUGCUGUGAAAACCUAGGGCUUAACUCUGGGCGUGCAGUGGGUACGGGCAGGCUAGAGUGCGGUAGGGGGAGACUGGAAUUCCUGGUGUAGCGGUGGAAUGCGCAGAUAUCAGGAGGAACACCAAUGGCGAAGGCAGAUCUCUGGGCCGUAACUGACGCUGAGGAGCGAAAGCAUGGGGAGCGAACAGG